rnacentral:rRNA from 1 species
CCAGACUCCUACGGGAGGCAGCAGUGAGGAAUAUUGGUCAAUGGUCGGGAGACUGAACCAGCCAAGCCGCGUGAGGGAGGAAGGUACAGAGUAUCGUAAACCUCUUUUGUCAGGGAACAAAGACUGGGACGCGUCCCCGGAUGAGUGUACCUGAAGAAAAAGCAUCGGCUAACUCCGUGCCAGCAGCCGCGGUAAUACGGAGGAUGCGAGCGUUAUCCGGAUUUAUUGGGUUUAAAGGGUGCGCAGGCGGAGGUGCAAGUCAGUGGUCAAAUUGCGGGGCUCAACCCCGUACUGCCGUUGAAACUGGUAGUCUCGAGUUGGAGAGAAGUAUGCGGAAUGCGCGGUGUAGCGGUGAAAUGCAUAGAUAUCGCGCAGAACUCCGAUUGCGAAG